AGCAAUCCCAGCGACGUUGCUCGUGGGCAAGAGGCUAUAUGGGCGGCGAUUGAGGAACAGAGACAGUUCAUGGCGGAACAACGUCGGCAGAUGGUGGAAAUCCAUGAGUUGCUCGCCGGCAUGGGACUCAACGCCAACCGCAACCGAAACACCCAUGGAUUAGGAGUCGGAGGUUUCGCCUGAGUCCAGCAGGGUGGUAGGCAUGAGGGGCGCGAUGUGGAGCGCAAUACCCGCUUCCAUCAACGGCGUCCAUA
rnacentral:lncRNA from 1 species